UACGUAGGGUGCGAGCGUUAUUCGGAAUCACUGGGCGUAAAGGGCGCGUAGGCGGCCCGUUAAGACAGGUGUGAAAUCCCUGGGCUCAACCUAGGAAUUGCGCUUGUGACUGGCGGGCUCGAGUACGGUAGAGGGGGGUGGAAUUCCUGGUGUAGCAGUGAAAUGCGUAGAGAUCAGGAGGAACACCGAUGGCGAAGGCAGCCCCCUGGGCCUGUACUGACGCUCAUGCACGAAAGCGUGGGGAGCAAACAGG
rnacentral:rRNA from 1 species